UUUAUGAUGGAGGGGUGGUUCAAUUUUCUGAUUAAAAGGAAUGUUAAAUACAAGUAUUUGAGUGUAUAGCGCCAUGGAGCUAUCAACAAUAAAUAUGAAAAUAAAAAGAGCUCUAAAC